rnacentral:lncRNA from 1 species
GUGGAAAUGAUGAUUAUUUCCCCAAAUGAUGGAAGUUGAAUAUACUGUUCUCAUUUAAUUAUAUUCUCUAUUACGUUAUAGAGAAUCCAAGCCAGAAAUUUGAUCCUAUCUCUGUUUAUGUUGAUAAAAAUAUGAGUUCCUCUGAUGAUGAUUGAAAUAAAAACUUUUGUUCUUCUGAGGAUGAUAUCCGUCUAUGCGGAAACUAUUAUUGGAGACUUUAACUGAAGAGGC